GACGAAGGGGGCUAGCGUUGUUCGGAAUUACUGGGCGUAAAGCGCGUGUAGGCGGUUGUCCAAGUUGGAUGUGAAAGCCUUGAGCUUAACUCAAGAAAUGCAUUCAGGACUGGAUGGCUAGAGGACCGGAGAGGAUAGUGGAAUUCCCAGUGUAGUGGUGAAAUACGUAGAGAUUGGGAAGAACACCAGUGGCGAAGGCGGCUAUCUGGACGGUUUCUGACGCUAAGACGCGAAAGCGUGGGGAGCAAACAGG
rnacentral:rRNA from 1 species